GAUGAACGCUGGCGGCGUGCCUAAUACAUGCAAGUCGAGCGAACAGACGAGGAGCUUGCUCCUCUGACGUUAGCGGCGGACGGGUGAGUAAAACGUGGAUAACCUACCUAUAAGACUGGGAUAACUUCGGGAAACCGGAGCUAAUACCGGAUAAUAUAUUGAACCGCAUGGUUCAAUAGUGAAAGACGGUUUUGCUGUCACUUAUAGAUGGAUCCGCGCCGCAUUAGCUAGUUGGUAAGGUAACGGCUUACCAAGGCAACGAUGCGUAGACGACCUGAGAGAGUGAUCGGCCACACUGGAACUGAGACACGGUCCAGACUCCUACGGGAGGCAGCAGUAGGGAAUCUUCCGCAAUGGGCGAAAGCCUGACGGAGCAACGCCGCGUGAGUGAUGAAGGUCUUCGGAUCGUAAAACUCUGUUAUUAGGGAAGAACAAAUGUGUAAGUAACUAUGCACGUCUUGACGGUACCUAAUCAGAAAGCCACGGCUAACUACGUG
rnacentral:rRNA from 1 species